UCUUCCUCAUGGAACUCAAACUUCACUGUGAAAUAUUGGUUUAUAAACCAUAAGCUCAAUCUUCUCUGGAAUUUUUAGAUCUUGUAGAAGUUCAAUAAGAUAUCAAUGAUAAAUAUUACAUCUUUAUUUCUCUUCUCUGAGGUUCAUGGAUAUUCUCAAUUGGAAGUUUCAGCCAAAUUCCAUACCGAUCCAAGAUAUGUUUAUUGAACUUUCCAAUUAACUAGUGUGGAUCUUCCAUGUAUUUUUUUUGAAAACUACAUUUUUAAAAUAAGAUAAAUUUAGAACAAAAUCUUGAAAGUACCCGAAAAAAUUAUUUUCAUAAACAAAAAAUAAAAAUGUAUACAAUUUCACACAUCAAAAUGUCUCUGGUACCGCAACUCUCAAAUCUAUCACUGGUCGUUUCAGUUUCUUCUCCGUUGGGCGUGAUCAUGUCUGAGAAAACUCAAACCUUUUGCAAAGCAUCUUCCCCCAAUCCCAACUCACCCACUUCCUCUGUUGAAGCUUCCCACUCCAAAGUUCGUGUCUUUGUCCGGAGAAAUAAAAAACCCAGAAGCAUGGUUGUCAAACUUGAAGGAGAGGACCAUUUUCCAUCAACCCAGGAUCACAAGGUUCUUGGCCUUCCAGAAAUUGAAGAAUUUGCGUACUGUGGAGCAAAUAAAUUGACUCGGCGUGUGAAAUCUGAAAUGGAAUCAGAGGGGGCUUCAGUGGCAAGUGAAGUUGGUUCAACUAGACCUGGUGGUGUAUCACCUGCCCACUGGGAAAAGGUGCUUGAGGGGAUUCGAAAAAUGAGGUGUUCUGGUGAUGCACCAGUGGAUACUAUGGGAUGUGAGAAAGCUGGUGAUACACUACCUCCCAAGGAGAGAAGAUUUGCUGUGCUGGUAUCUUCUCUUUUAUCUAGCCAAACAAAGGAUCCAGUUACUCAUGGAGCAAUUCAGCGCCUUCUUCAAAAUGAUCUGCUUACAGCUGAAGCAAUCAAUAAUGUAGAUGAAGAGACAGUCAAAAAGUUGAUCUACCCUGUUGGGUUUUAUACAAGAAAAGCCACUAACUUGAAAAAAAUUGCAAAUAUUUGUCUCAUGAAGUACAAUGGAGACAUACCAAGCUCAAUUGACCAACUACUGUUACUUCCAGGCAUUGGUCCUAAGAUGGCUCAUUUGGUUAUGAAUGUUGGAUGGAACAAUGUCCAAGGGAUAUGUGUAGAUACUCAUGUCCACCGCAUCUGCAACCGCCUUGGGUGGGUCUCAAGAUUGGGCACAAAACAGGUUCCUUUAAAAAACUUCAACACCUGAAGAGACAAGAGAGUCUCUGCAACGGUGGCUUCCAAAGGAAGAAUGGGUUCCAAUAAACCCUCUAUUGGUAGGCUUUGGACAAACAAUUUGUACACCUCUAAGACCUCGUUGUGGAGAAUGCAGUGUAAGAGACUUGUGUCCCUCUGCCUUCAAGGAGGCCUCAAACUCAAGCCCAUCUUCCAAGCCCAAAAAGCCCGGGCUGAACAAGAAGCCUUAACAUUCACCACUCCCAAAAACACAUUAACCUUUAACCAAUUUUUGUGGAAUUUGGUUCCUUUUUUGUCACUAUUUUGGCAUGCACAUGCAUAUUUCUAGGUAUAGCUGUGACCAAAUUCUUGUUGGGCUUACGUUACAUGCUGCCCCACAUCUAGAUAUGUAUAUUUCUUGUUCUUUUUUUUUGGGUAAGAAUACAUGUAUUCACCUUUGGAUGGUAUGAAACUUAAGGGUUUUUAAAAGCUUGAUUUUUAUA